AGAGUUUGAUCCUGGCUCAGAUUGAACGCUGGCGGCAGGCCUAACACAUGCAAGUCGAACGGUAACAGGAAGCAGCUUGCUGCUUCGCUGACGAGUGGCGGACGGGUGAGUAAUGUCUGGGAAACUGCCUGAUGGAGGGGGAUAACUACUGGAAACGGUAGCUAAUACCGCAUAACGUCGCAAGACCAAAGAGGGGGACCUUCGGGCCUCUUGCCAUCGGAUGUGCCCAGAUGGGAUUAGCUAGUAGGUGGGGUAACGGCUCACCUAGGCGACGAUCCCUAGCUGGUCUGAGAGGAUGACCAGCCACACUGGAACUGAGACACGGUCCAGACUCCUACGGGAGGCAGCAGUGGGGAAUAUUGCACAAUGGGCGCAAGCCUGAUGCAGCCAUGCCGCGUGUAUGAAGAAGGCCUUCGGGUUGUAAAGUACUUUCAGCGGGGAGGAAGGCGACAGGGUUAAU
rnacentral:rRNA from 1 species